GGCUACGAGGACGAACGCUGGCGGCGUGCUUAAUACAUGCAAGUCAACUUGACUUUAGAUAGCAAUAUCGAAAAGUAGGGUGGCGCACGGGUGCGUAACGCGUAGGUAAUCUGCCCUGAGGUCUGACAUAACCCGUCGAAAGGCGGGCUAACAUCAGAUGAUAUAUAGUCACGACAUCGUGGAAAUAUCAAAUCUUCGGAGCCUUGGGAUGAGCCUGCGUCUGAUUAGGUAGUUGGCGGAGUAAUAGCCCACCAAGCCUACGAUCAGUAGCUGGUCUGAGAGGAUGAUCAGCCACACUGGAACUGAGACACGGUCCAGACUCCUACGGGAGGCAGCAGUAAGGAAUAUUGCUCAAUGGGGGGAAACCCUGAAGCAGCAACGCCGCGUGAAGGAUGAAAUACUUUGUAUGUAAACUUCUGUAAGAUGGGAAAAAUAUUCUCCUCGGGAGAAUUGAUUGUACCAUCAGAGUAAGCCCCGGCUAACUACGUG
rnacentral:rRNA from 1 species